AUUGAACGCUGGCGGCAUGCUUUACACAUGCAAGUCGAACGGCAGCGCGGGGCAACCUGGCGGCGAGUGGCGAACGGGUGAGUAAUACAUCGGAACGUACCCAGAAGUGGGGGAUAACGUAGCGAAAGUUACGCUAAUACCGCAUACGUUCUACGGAAGAAAGUGGGGGACCUUCGUGCCUCAUGCUUUUGGAGCGGCCGAUGUCUGAUUAGCUAGUUGGUGAGGUAAAGGCUCACCAAGGCGACGAUCAGUAGCUGGUCUGAGAGGACGACCGGCCACACUGGGACUGAGACACGGCCCAGACUCCUACGGGAGGCAGCAGUGGGGAAUUUUGGACAAUGGGCGCAAGCCUGAUCCAGCAAUGCCGCGUGAGUGAAGAAGGCCUUCGGGUUGUAAAGCUCUUUUGUCAGGGAAGAAACGGCUGAGGAUAAUACCUUCGGCUAAUGACGGUACCUGAAGAAUAAGCACCGGCUAACUACGUG
rnacentral:rRNA from 1 species